rnacentral:rRNA from 1 species
CCAGACUCCUACGGGAGGCAGCAGUGAGGAAUAUUGGACAAUGGGAGGAAUCCUGAACCAGCCAUGCCGCGUGCAGGACGACGGCUCUACGAGUUGUAAACUGCUUUUGUACCGGGGUAAAAUGCCUUACGAGUAGGGUUUUGAAAGUACGGUACGAAUAAGGAUCGGCUAACUCCGUGCCAGCAGCCGCGGUAAUACGGAGGAUCCGAGCGUUAUCCGGAUUCAUCGGGUUUAAAGGGUGCGUAGGCGGGCAUUUAAGCCGGCGGUCAAAUGUCGGGGCUCAACCCCGGCCUGCCGUCGGAACUGGGUGCCUUGAGUGGGCGAGAAGUAUGCGGAAUGCGUGGUGUAGCGGUGAAAUGCAUAGAUAUCACGCAGAACUCCGAUUGCGAAGGCAGCAUACCGGCGCGCAACUGACGCUCAUGCACGAAAGCGUGGGUAUCGAACAGGAUUAGAUACCCGUGUA